UUGCACGCUGGCGGCAUGCCUUACCCCUGCCAGUCGCACGGUAACGGGCCUUCGGGUGCCGACGAGUGGCGAACGGGUGAGUAAUACAUCGGAACGUGCCCGAUCGUGGGGGAUAACGAGGCGAAAGCUUUGCUAAUACCGCAUACGAUCUACGGAUGAAAGCAGGGGACCGCAAGGCCUUGCGCGGACGGAGCGGCCGAUGGCAGAUUAGGUAGUUGGUGGGAUAAAAGCUUACCAAGCCGACGAUCUGUAGCUGGUCUGAGAGGAUGAUCAGCCACACUGGGACUGAGACACGGCCCAGACUCCUACGGGAGGCAGCAGUGGGGAAUUUUGGACAAUGGGCGCAAGCCUGAUCCAGCCAUGCCGCGUGCAGGAUGAAGGCCUUCGGGUUGUAAACUGCUUUUGUACGGAACGAAAAGCCUUCUUUUAAUACAGGAGGGUCAUGACGGUACCGUAAGAAUAAGCACCGGCUAACUACGUG
rnacentral:rRNA from 1 species